rnacentral:rRNA from 1 species
UACAGAGGUCUCAAGCGUUGUUCGGAUUCAUUGGGCGUAAAGGGUGUGUAGGUGGCGCCGUAAGUCGGGUGUGAAAUUUCGGAGCUUAACUCCGAAACUGCAUUCGAUACUGCGGUGCUUAAGGACUGGAGAGGAGACUGGAAUUCAUUGGUGUAGCAGUGAAAAUGCGUAGAGAUCAUGAGGAAGACCAGUGGCGAAAGGCGGGGUCUCUGGACAGUUCCUGACGCUGAGGCACGAAAGCGUGGGGGAGC